rnacentral:rRNA from 1 species
GAGUUUGAUCAUGGCUCAGGAUGAACGCUAGCGGCGGGCCUAAUACAUGCAAGUCGAACGGUGCAGCAAUGCAUAGUGGCAGACGGGUGCGUAACGCGUAUGCAACCUACCUUUAUCGGGGGACAACAUUUCGAAAGAAGUGCUAAUACCGCGUAAGAUAGUAGUGGGACAUCCCACAGCUAUUAAACUUUCGGGGAUAGAAGAUGGGCAUGCGUCUGAUUAGCUAGUUGGCGGGGUAACGGCCCACCAAGGCGACGAUCAGUAGGGGAACUGAGAGGUUGAUCCCCCACACUGGCACUGAGAUACGGGCCAGACUCCUACGGGAGGCAGCAGUAGGGAAUAUUGGGCAAUGGACGGAAGUCUGACCCAGCCACGCCGCGUGCAGGAGGAAGGCGCUCUGCGUUGUAAACUGCUUUAGCAGGGGAAGAAAAGACUCAUGCGUGAGGAAUUGACGGUACCCUGAGAAUAAGCACCGGCUAACUACGUG